rnacentral:rRNA from 1 species
CCCGCUGAACUUAAGCAUAUCAAUAAGCGGAGGAAAAGAAACUAACAAGGAUUCCCCUAGUAACUGCGAGUGAAGCGGGAAAAGCUCAAAUUUAAAAUCUGGUGGCCUUUGGCCAUCCGAGUUGUAAUUUAGAGAAGCGUCUUCCGCGCUGGACCGUGCACAAGUCUCCUGGAAUGGAGCGUCGUAGAGGGUGAGAAUCCCGUCUUGAAACACGG